rnacentral:rRNA from 1 species
GCGUAAGGAUGAAGGCCUACGGGUUGUAAACUUCUUUUCUCAAGGAGGAAGAUCUGACGUUACUUGAGGAAUAAGCAUCGGCUAACCCUGUGCCAGCAGCCGCGGUAAUACAGGGGAUGCAAGUGUUAUCCGGAAUUAUUGGGCGUAAAGCGUCUGCAGGUUGAUAUUUAAGUCUUUUGUUAAAUCUCUAGGCUUAACCUGGAAUCUGCAAAAGAAACUAUUUAUCUUGAGUAUGGUAGAGGUAAAGGGAAUUUCCAGUGGAGCGGUGAAAUGCGUAGAUAUUGGAAAGAACACCAACAGCGAAGGCACUUUACUGGGCCAGUACUGACACUCAGAGACGAAAGCUAGGGGAGCAAACGGGAUUAGAUACCCCGGUAGUCCUAGCUGUAAACGAUGGAUACUAGAUGUUGUGGAUUCUUUGAAUCUGCAGUGUCGUAGCUAACGCGUUAAGUAUCCCGCCUGGGAAGUAUGCUCGCAAGAGUGAAACUCACAGGAAUUGACGGGGGCCCGCACAAGCGGUGGAGCAUGUGGUUUAAUUCGAUGCAACACGAAGAACCUUACCAGGACUUGACAUGAAAAGAAAGUUUCCGAAAAGAAAUGUGCUAGGCUCUUACACAGGUGGUGCUGGCUGU